GGGAUUUGGAGACCCGAGGAGGAGAUCCCGGCACCGGCGCACCCCUCCCUCCCUUGUUUGCUAAAGCUUUUGGAUCACCCGGGGGCUUUUGGAUCACGCCUUGCUCCACCCUUGCUCUCAGAGUUUAGCACUGGGCUCGACCAGCCUAAAGACCUAGGGCCUACUACGGAAAAUUUCACUCCCAAGCAAGUGCAAAGCGAGAAAGCCAUUGCAGCAUAGCACUCUGAAGUCCUCCUGCCUCUGCGGAGAUAAGAGAGCCGCUGUCCUGGAGAACAGAGAUAGACUAGGGGCCCCAGCCCUGAAGAUGGGCUCUGGUGCUAGGGUCAGGUUCAUGAUCCUCUGUGGGCCUUAACGCCCUUGAUCUAAGAAUGCCAACACAGCCAUUUCCCUUCAUUGUGCAAUUUUUGUUUUAAAAUUGAAAUUUAAAGGAGUAUUUGGUUGGUUGAUUUGGAUUUUCUAGACAGGGUUCUCUAUGUAGUCCUGGUUGUCCUGAAACUCAAGAGAUCCGACUGCCUCUGCUUCUGGGGAGCCUGGAUUAAAGGCCUGCGCCAAAACAACUGGGCUUAAAAGGAUUAUUUGCAAUUUUGAUUCUGGGUUCUUUUGGUAGAAGAGCCUGGAGUACCUGAGUCUUGCUCCCAGUCUGUUCCAGCUUCAGCAGGCUCAUCAGUCAGCAACAACGACUAUCUGAAUUCAAACCUGUUUGCCUUUGAUAUGUCUUUAAUUGUCUCAGCCCUAAAGAACAAGGAAAAAGACUUUUCUUCCUGGACACCUGCAUUCUGGGAGCUAGGUUAAAUACCCAGCUGAGAUGUUCUGGAUGAUUCCUGGGUUAAUCUGUCCAAAUCAAAGGAUAAACACAUUAGCUCUUGAGGUGUGUAGCACUGGGGCAGAUGUUCCAGAAAGUGAAAACAUUCAGUAGUUCACAUCUUUCCAAUUGAAUACUGCAACCAUUUAAACCCCUCUGUUGCAGGGCUAUCCCUGAACGCUCACCCAACUUUUAUUCUGUUUUAUUUGUUUCAUUUUCUUUGGCACUUUUAAACUUAGCCAAGAUAGCCAACUUCAAAAAUGGACAUCACUCCCCUGCCAGGCACUGUAAGACUCCAGGGUGCCUUAGCCUACUAGAGACCCCCUGAGUGAAACAUGUGGUUUAUUGUUCCAGUGCACUGAGGUCUUCCCAGACCCAAAGGAGAGGUGACAACCCCCAGCACCAGUUCAAGUUUUUAUAUGGUUUCCAGGGGCAGUACAGAGAGCAUCACAACUAGGCACAAUAUGAUUGGCAGAACAGUGCACCCUUUAAACUGAUUGGUUUUUAGGGAAUGAGCUGACCCUUGUCUGAAGCCCUGUUUCCAAGUCCUGAUGACACAUGAUUGGAGUUAAGCUGAAAAAAUGGCAUAGUUGCAACAUCUGAGCCUUCUUGGCCAAAGAGGGGGAAGUCUUUAAAUGAGGCAAUAUCUUUUUGUCAGCUUUUGGCUCUGAGGUUACAAGUCAAACCAUCAGACAAAAACAUGUCAAGAAAUCUCUGAGAACAGGCUCCUCUCAACUCUUAAGUACCACAGGGUCAGGGCACAAAGCACAGCAGCCUCACUCCUCCCACAGUCCUGGUUCACUCUUGAGAACCAGUUCCCAGCUGCUGGCUGUAACCCCAGCACUACAGGCAUCUUUGCAGAGCCUGGGCAAGGGGGCCGGAAAGUCUCACCGAGCUGACAUACGAAUGUUGAUGGAAAGAUCUGUGUCUGCUUUGUGAACACAAGCUAUGGCAUUCCAACACACCCUGCCACUCUGAGCCCUCCAGCCCUGUACCCAUCUGUAAAUUGACUCUCCAAGGAGUGUGCUACAAACCCAGCAUUCAAGCAGUCCCUGGACUUUGCCCAUCACACUGACUUUAAAAUGAAGAUGCCAGAUACUGCUGAACUAGCCCUACAUGCUUCACAGAACACAUCACUUCCAAAUGGACUACAAAUAACUAUACAAAUGCCACCAGAGAGCAGACAUAAGGGACUACUUCCCAUAUGUAGGUGAGAACCUAGCUGAAGUUUCUUAUGAUCAUCCCAUUCCUUAAUUGAUCUAGAGAAGGAGCAGCCAUUUUUUUGUGUGCAGCAUUUGUGGGUGCUAACACGCUACCAGCCAGGCGCACCGCUAGGGGGCGCGAGCGCCACACGCAGCACUGGGGAUCUACGAAGACCUGUCCUUUCCUUAAAGAGUUCCAAGCUUGCAGACAAGAGGUCAACGUGAAUUAAGAAUAUUAGAAUAAUUUCAACCAAAAACUAAUGUUACUUAUCACACUUAUCUUUACAUUUAAUAAUUCAUAAACGGCCUUGGAGUUGGAAUCAACUUAUGUCGGAGAAUCUUUAGUGCUUCCUUCCUUGCCCAGCUGCAAGAAGCCAGGGCAAUGGACAGAGUUUUCUGCUCCUGGGCUGGGGGUGUUCUGAGGUUCCCAGUGCUCUCUGUGUGGAUACAGAAUAAUGGAUCACAGUGGUUCUCUGCAGAGGGAACUUCUGCAGAGACAAAAAUUUACCCUCUUAUUUUACCUCCCAAACUAGAUGCAUAAAUUGUAGUCAGUCAUAUUUAACUUUAUGUAGUAUCUUACAGAUGUCCACAGCACAUAUUAUUUAAUUUCACAAUAAUCCAGCAAGUAAACAAGGACUCUAAUCAAUACUUGCAGAUUCGGGAACUGGCAAACAAUAUGAUGCUGGAAUGCGAGGCUGACAAACAGCAGAGCCUAGCACACCUCAGACUAAGCCUGGAACUCUCUCACCCGCCCUCAUGGCUCCAGCAUGGAAGGGGAUGACAGGCAGGCCAAACUAACACAGAACAACCCUGAACAACAUCCUGUGUGUAGGAUGAACUGGAGACCUCUCUCAGUGGUUUACAGCACUUGCUGCUGUGGCAGAGGAAGUAGGGUUCAGUUCCCAGUAUCCACUUGUUACAAUUCUCUCUCCACAAGAUCUUCCUACUUCCUCAGACAAUGAGUGCAUUUGGUGCAUGUACAUGCACAUGGACAAACACUUAUACUCAUAAAAUGGAUUUUAAAAAGAACUAGCCUCAAC
rnacentral:lncRNA from 1 species